rnacentral:rRNA from 1 species
UACGGAGGGUGCGAGCGUUGUCCGGAUUUAUUGGGUUUAAAGGGUGCGUAGGCGGCUUUAUAAGUCAGUGGUGAAAGUCUAUGGCUUAACCAUAGGAUUGCCAUUGAUACUGUAAAGCUUGAGUAUAGUUGAGGUAGGCGGAAUUGACGGUGUAGCGGUGAAAUGCAUAGAUAUCGUCAGGAACACCGAUUGCGUAGGCAGCUUACUAAGCUAUAACUGACGCUGAGGCACGAAAGUGUGGGGAUCAAACAGG